rnacentral:rRNA from 1 species
UCUUGCUCGAAUAUAGGGGGACCACCCUCUAAGCCUAAAUACUAAUCAGUGACCGAUAGUGAACUAGUACCGUGAGGGAAAGGUGAAAAGAACCCCUAAUAGGGGAGUGAAAUAGAACCUGAAACCGCAUGCCUACAAUCAGUCGAAGCUCUUUUUAGAGUGACGGCGUACCUUUUGUAUAAUGGGUCAGUGACUUAAUUUGUUAAGCAAGCUUAAGCCAUCUAGGUGUAGGCGCAGCGAAAGCGAGUCUUAAUAGGGCGAUCAGUUUAAUAAAUUAGACCCGAAAACGAAUGAGCUUACCAUGAGCAGGUUGAAUGCAAGGUAACACUUGCUGGAGGACCGAACCAGUUGACGUUGAAAAGUCUUUGGAUGACUUGUGGUAAGGGGUGAAAGGCCAACCAAAUUCGUAGAUAGCUGGUUUUCCGCGAAAACUAUUUAGGUAGUGCGUUGAAUAAAUAUACGUUUAGAGGUAGAGCACUAAAUGGGCUAGGGGGAAGAGAUUCUUACCAAACCUAAUAAAACUCCGAAUGCUAAACGUAGUUCUUCAACAGACAGACUGUGGGUGCUAAGGUCCAUGGUCGAGAGGGAAAAAGCCCAGAUCACCAGAUAAGGUCCCUAAAUUAUGAUUAAGUGUGAAAGGAUGUGGAAAUUCCUUAACAGCCGGGAGGUUGGCUUAGAAGCAGCCAUCCUUUAAAGAUAGCGUAACAGCUCACCGGUCUAAUAGAGUUUCUGCGCCGAAGAUGUAACGGGGCUUAAAUCAUAUACCGAAUCUGUGGAUUUGUAAUUUCUUCGGAAAUUACAUCUGGUAGCGGAACGUUCUGUAAGCCUGUAAAGGGAUACCCGUGAGGGAUCCUGGAGGUAUCAGAAGUGCGAAUGCUGACAUAAGUAACGAUAAAUAAAGUGAAAAACUUUAUCGCCGAAAAUCCAAGGGUUUCUGCGCAAGGUUAAUCCGCGCAGAGUUAGUCGGCCCCUAAGGCGAGGGCGAAAGCCGUAGUCGAUGGAAAUAAGGUUAAUAUUCCUUAACCUGAUGGAAGUGACGGAUUUUGUAAGUUGUAAGUUCUUAAUGGAUUGAGCUUGCCGCGAAAAAGUCCCAGGAAAUAACUCCAUCAUAAGACCGUACCCUAAACCGACACAGGUGGAUUAAUAGAGUAUAUUUAGGCGCUUGAGAGAAUGAUGUUGAAGGAACUCGGCAAAAUGCUUCUGUAACUUCGGAAUAAAGAAGACCUUUUUUUAGGCAACUAUUUAAAGGUGGCACAAGCCAGGGAGAAGCGACUGUUUAUCAAAAACACAGGGCUCUGCUAACACGUAAGUGGAUGUAUAGGGUCUGACGCCUGCCCGGUGCUGGAAGGUUAAUGCGAUGGGUGCAAGCUCAUCUCUGAAGCCCCAGUAAACGGCGGCCGUAACUAUAACGGUCCUAAGGUAGCGAAAUUCCUUGUCGGGUAAGUUCCGACCUGCAUGAAUGGCGUAACGAUUUCUCCGCUGUCUCCAACAUCAACUCAGUGAAAUUGAAUUCUCCGUGAAGAUGCGGAGUUCGCGUAGUUAGACGGAAAGACCCCGUGCACCUUUACUGCAACUUUACAUUGGUGUUAGGAAAAACAUAUUUAGCAUAGGAGGGAGACUUUGAAGCAGGAGCGUUAGCUUUUGUGGAGUCGUCAGUGAAAUACCUCUUUUUGUUUUCUUGGCAUCUAACUGAUCACCGUUAUCCGGUAUCA